UCCACCCAUUAUAUUUUUAUCCAAUUCAGAACUGUAUACCCUUCUCUCUCUCUCGUUCUAAUUCUUCCCUGUGCAAAAAGAACCAACGCCGUAGUUCCUCACUUAUCUCCCUCCGUCUUCUUUUCUUCUUCACAAAACAUAAUUUGCACAAAAAUCCAACAAUAAAAAUACACACUCAUAAGGAGAAUUUCAGUAUUCAAGUAGAAGGGAUUUGGAGAAAACAUUUUGAGAGUUAGGGUUUGUGCUCUGAAAGAGGAAAAGAGUACCCACCCUUUUAGGAUUGCUUAUUUUGGCUUCUUUGAGAUUCAACGACGAGUAGGUCGUUCGGUGGUCGUGGGACUGUUGAAAUCAAUUGCGUUGAUUCGUCGUAGUUAUUCUCAGGCCACUAAGUAGCAGGCUCAUGUCAGAAUCAAGUCGAUCGAUUAUUUUAUUGGUAUGCCUCCUUUGGCUGGUGGCUCAAUUGGUGUCUUCUAUUAGAUUCUAGUUAUCUGCAGCUAUAGGGAGUCUUAGGUGGAUUGAUUCUGAAUCAUUAUUUAUUAUUUUACUUCAGAAAUUGUACCGUAGUGAUGAAAUUGGAAUUUGUGUUUUUAUGGAAUUAUGGUUAUGAUGAAAACCGAAUGACAGGUUUAUUGUUUUGGAAAUGUUGAUUUUGUAAAGGAGGUUCUGUUGAAAUAUUAUAAAAUAUAAAGAAACAUGUAUAAUUUUGGAAAAUAG